rnacentral:siRNA from 1 species
CUCACGUUCUAUCUGCUUUGGU